ensembl:lncRNA
CAGUUUUAGGACAAACAGCCUUCUUCAAGAGGAGGUUCAGGGCCAGUUUUAGGUCCAACAGUAGCCAGCAUCAAGAGGAGGUUCAUGGCCAGUUUUAGGACAAACAGCCUUCUUCAAGAGGAGGUUCAGGGCCAGUUUUAGGUCCAACAGUAGCCAGCAUCAAGAGGAGGUUCAUGGCCAGUUUUAGGACAAACAGCCUUCUUCAAGAGGAGGUUCAGGGCCAGUUUUAGGACCAGUAGGACCAACAGUAUCCUACUUCAGGAGGUGGUUCAGGGCCAGUUUUAGGACCAGUAGGACCAACAGUAUCCUACUUCAGGAGGUGGUUCAGGGCCAGUUUUAGGACCAGUAGGACCAACAGUAUCCUGCUUCAGGAGGAGGUUCAGGGCCAGUUUUAGGACCAAUAGGACCAACAGCCUGAUUCAGGAGGAGGUUCAGGGCCAGUUUUAGGGCCAACAGUAUCCUGCUUCAGGAGGUGGUUCAGGGCCAGUUUUAGGACCAAUAGUAUCCUGCUUCAGGAGGAGGUUCAGGGCCAGUUUUAGAACCAGUAGGACCAACAGUAUCCUGCUUCAGGAGGUG